ACUAGUCAAACAUUCUACUUGUUAAUAAACAUUAACAUAACAUAAUAAACAGACGUACACAAGCAUACAAAUUCAGCAGUGAGUGUAUGACCUUCGUAUGUAUGUAAGAGGGAAUAUAGGACAGUAAAGCCAAGACGAAUACAUCUACUCUGUAGUUAAUGCUUCGAAAAUGCAGUUUCUGUUCUACUCAGGGCUGUAAAAUGUAUUUGAACAGAGCAAUAAAGGAGAGACAGACAAAAAGAGAGAGACAUUGAGCUUUGGUCUAGGUAAUAAACAUGUCCUUUGUCUCCUUGGCAACAUACAAUAGAGGAAGUUUACAAAAAACUGACCUGCCCACUUUCACCUGCCACAAUGCCAGCAAAUCAACACUAGCUGUUCAAGGUUUACAGGAAGUGGAGUCAGUCGUGACAUGGAGGCAGACUCGCUGACUGUGAAGUGAACCACUUUAGUUUUCACUGAUACGAACAAAAACAAGGACUUAAUAAUCAUGGACACCAUCUUUGCUACCCUAGCUUGUUAUCUUCUGGCGCUUUCUGUUGCUGUGGUACAAGCGCAAAACAAUAAUUUGACGAUCACAACUACAAUAACAACCCCUGUCUUAAACCUGACACACACACCUACGAUGGUAACUUCAUCUAACUCAACUGUACGUGUAACUGUUAUCUCAAACUUGACUGAAAACACGACUCCGUUUAUCAACGCGACCCAGGGCAAUGAAACAUUCACAGAAACUACAGCAGCAACAGUUGAGAGCACAAGUCUUCUCCAGACAUCUCAGUCAACAACCAUCAUAACUCCUCUGACAAAUAAUACAUCAGAAAUGACCACAAGACCUGGCAAUCACACUCCAACAUUUACUGCACAGACAACACCAACAUCACAGAGCACAGAAGGUUACAUGAGCACACCGGAUGCUACAGUAAAUACAACUGCAAAUUCAUCCCACACUGUCACCACAAUCUCAGAUUCAAUGGACAAAGCCACAAAAGGUUUGAUACUAAACAAUUCAGAAAGGACAAUGACUAUUUUCUUCAGCGCUGUACUCGGAGUAUUUGCUCUGGCAUGUGUUGGGUUCAUGCUUCACAGAUGCAAACAUAAAAUCCAAUACUUGCAUCAACCUCUAAAUAACACUGAUGACACGGAUGCAUUUGAGGCAGACGAUGACACACUUGUGAUUUCUGGAGGACUUUAUGAUGGCCACCCGAUAUACGACAACGUGCCAACAGCACAAACAACAGACCAAUCUCAAUUCAGUCUCCAGUUCCUUCAUUAAGGAGAGAGUUCAUAUUGUUUUGGUGCCUGAAAGGAUGGACAAAAUCAACUUUCUCCAUCUACUAAUUAGUACAAUUUCAAGACUGAAAUUUCACCACUGUAAAAUGUAUAGAGGCUGACAGCAGAGAGGAAGCGAACACAGAACAUUCAAACAAGGACAAUGCUGAACAAUUUGAACAUUAAUUUUACUUAAAUAGUUGUUAAUACUAGGAUACAUACAUAUACUAAAUAUAUAAGGUUUGCAUUAUAAACUUAUGCAGAACAAAUUAGAUUUCUUGUGAACACCAGUAAAGAUAAAUUAUUCAAUACAACAGCACCAAAACAAACUGAUUUUGAAACUGAACAAACUGAAGUACUUAAAAUCAGAGGGUGACUCUGCAGUCAUGUAAAAUCUACCUACCCUAAACAAACAGCUGAAAUAUGAAAAGGUAAAUAUUUCUGUUAACAGUGCUGUUUAACUGAUCCAAAACAAUAUUUUCUCUGCAUCUUAAGAAAGAAAUUGGCCUGUUUUUAUUAUUAAUGCUGUUUGUUUGAUCCCGAACAGUGAGUAUGAAUGUUAACAAAGUUGGAAUAUGAACCUGUCUGAUAUUGUUAAGGUUUAUCUGACCUGUAACAUAACUAUUUAUGCAAAGAUCUUGUCAUUGGUCAUCUUCUUUUUUUUGUCACAGCCAGUAACAGCCAUCCAACCAGCAUCUCUCAUCCUUUUCAUUGCAGCUAACUUCAAAGCCGUCCCUGGUGAUUUAUGAGUGACAGGGCUCUGGAUCUGCAAAAAUGUUGAUCCAUUUUUUUUAAAUAACAAUUACCAGGGAUUGCUUCUUCUUUGUCAAAGAAUACAAUGCAUAAAUCUCUUUUAAAAAUAGCAUUUUACCUUUUUGAAGAUGUUGGGUUUGCAGUGUGAAGCGGAAACAUUUGGUGUGUAUGUUCUUUCAAAAGUCUGCCAAGAAGAGAAACAGAAGGACAAAUCAGAUCUUUUGAUUUGAUAGAAUAUAAUUCACAAAAACAAUGAUACUGACAACUGACAACUGACCAACAUAUCAUUUUGAUCAGAGCUGUCUGACAAGUCUGACAGCAGUAAGGAGUUCUUCCCCCAGCUCGCUGCCUUUUCAGCAGAAGGAGGUGUCCUUAUUCUGUAGCACUGCAAAGGAAUUCAAAGAGUAAAUGUCAACAAAAUUAAUUAAUAUUUGUAUUCAUUAUGGAAAAUGUCAGAAUAAUACUGAAUAUUACUUUGAUCUUUGAUGUUCUACCAAGCCUGUUUGUAAUACUUCUUGGGGUUUUCUUCUCUUCAUUGCAAAUUUCCUACAAGAAUGAAUAAAUGAUGCAACAAUAAUAGACAGAAUCAAAUAGACUAAAUGUUUAUGUUAUACUGUUCUCUAUCAUCAUAGCCAAUCAACUUUCUUUGAAUAAAUAUACAGUGUUAACUAUU